rnacentral:rRNA from 1 species
UGGGGAAUUUUGGACAAUGGGCGCAAGCCUGAUCCAGCCAUGCCGCGUGUCUGAAGAAGGCCUUCGGGUUGUAAAGGACUUUUGUCAGGGAAGAAAAGGCUGUUGCUAAUACCGACAGCUGAUGACGGUACCUGAAGAAUAAGCACCGGCUAACUACGUGCCAGCAGCCGCGGUAAUACGUAGGGUGCGAGCGUUAAUCGGAAUUACUGGGCGUAAAGCGAGCGCAGACGGUUACUUAAGCAGGAUGUGAAAUCCCCGGGCUCAACCUGGGAACUGCGUUCUGAACUGGGUGACUAGAGUGUGUCAGAGGGAGGUAGAAUUCCACGUGUAGCAGUGAAAUGCGUAGAGAUGUGGAGGAAUACCGAUGGCGAAGGCAGCCUCCUGGGAUAACACUGACGUUCAUGCUCGAAAGCGUGGGUAGCAAACAGGAUUAGAUACCCGUGUAGUCCCUGAGCGGGCUGGCAAGGCGCAU